UUCACAAGUCAGUCAGCAGUUUGGUUUUGGGUUUUUUAAGCCACGUCGACCAAAAGGCGUUACACUUGUGAUAGAGCAUUAAAUGCGGCUGUGCCACACCCCCCGCCCACCUGUGGUCACUGUUCUAGUGUUCGCGCCGGGCAAUCGGGGGCGUGGCACUUGGCCGGGCGCCCCUCCCUAGAGAGUUGAGCCAAUUGAGUGGGGG
rnacentral:snoRNA from 1 species